rnacentral:rRNA from 1 species
CACGACCCCCAUCCGCCAGAAAAUUACGAGCAAGCCCAAAUUUUUAAGCCUAAAACUCAAAAGACUUGACGGUGUCCCAACCUACCUAGAGGAGCCUGUUCCAUAAUCGAUAACCCACGAUCAACCCUACCACCCCUCGAAUAAUCAGCCUAUAUACCGCCGUCACCAGCUUACCUUUAAAAGAUAUAAAGUAAGCACAAUAGUAUAUUACUAGUACGUCAGGUCAAGGUGUAGCCUAUGGGGUGGUGCCAAUGGGCUACAUUAUCUGCCACAGAUUAUAUACGAACUAUUUUUUGACAUAACUACAUAAAGGUGGAUUUAGCAGUAAACCAAGCAAGAACACUUAGUUUAACCCUUGCCCUGAGACA